UACGGAGGGGGCUAGCGUUGUUCGGAAUUACUGGGCGUAAAGGGCGCGCAGGCGGCUGCUCAAGUCAGGCGUGAAAGGCCUGGGCUCAACCCGGGAAUUGCGCUUGAGACUGGGCUGGCUUGAGUGCGGGAGAGGAUGGUGGAAUUCCCAGUGUAGAGGUGAAAUUCGUUGAUAUUGGGAAGAACACCGGUGGCGAAGGCGGCCAUCUGGACCGCAACUGAUGCUGUUGCGCGAAAGCGCGGGUAGCAAACAGG
rnacentral:rRNA from 1 species